rnacentral:rRNA from 1 species
GACAGAGGAUGCAAGCGUUAUCCGGAAUGAUUGGGCGUAAAGCGUCUGUAGGUGGCUUUUCAAGUCCGCCGUCAAAUCCCAGGGCUCAACCCUGGACAGGCGGUGGAAACUACCAAGCUAGAGUAUGGUAGGGGCAGAGGGAAUUUCCGGUGGAGCGGUGAAAUGCAUUGAGAUCGGAAAGAACACCAACGGCGAAAGCACUCUGCUGGGCCGACACUGACACUAAGAGACGAAACCUAGGGGAGCAAAUGGG